AUGGUGUACUUUGUCCCCAGCAGCAGAAUGACCAUCUUCUCUCUCCUUUACAGGCUGAACCCUGUGCCUGGCUCCUACCCCACACAGAGCUGCCACCCUCACCUGCCCCCAAGCUACCCUGUCACUGAGAUACAACAUGCCAGCAGCCAGAAACUGGUGGCCUGGUCAGCCUGUGCUCCUGGGCACAUGCCCAGCCUGCCUCCAUACCACCCUGCCUCAGGCAGCUCUGUGAAACACGAUUUACUAACCCAACUUUCAGAUACAGAAAAUAAAAGUGGGCAUGGUAAAUGUACCUAUUCACAACUGUAACGGAGGCAGGAGGAUCAGAAGUUCAAGGUCAUCCUCAGUUAUACAGAGAGCUGGAGACCAGCCUGGGCUACAUGAGAAGUGAGAUGUUUUGGGAUUCCAUGGAGUCUUGAGGCUCCAGAGGAACCCCUCCACCUGGGGUUCUUAGCUCCUACUCCAGUGUCCUGAGCACAGGUAGAAGGUGAAGCUGUCCAAAGCUGCCAAAGGCUCUUGCUAAACCCACCUGUCUCAUCCUGCACAGUGCCCAUGAAUCCAUGCUUGUGUCUUGUGUGAUGGGCAGCCCUCAGGCCUGUGUAACAUCAUCUCCCUCCCUCCUUCCCUUCCUCCCCCUCAUCCAUCCCUGUCCAGACUUUUCUGCUAGGCAGAGGCCACCCAUAGCAGCAUGCUGGGCCAACCUAUCAGUUGUGUUUGUAUUAAAACCAGCCUCCAAACUGCCAGUCGUGUGAGGCUUUUUCGUGUUCCGCCCAGAGCAGAUACUGCCAUAACUUGGGCAAUUGUAAUCUGGGGUGCAGGGACAAAAGGUGUGAAGGGACCAGGAUUGCAUCAGACCCACAGCCUAUGUCCAGCGGGUCAACAGUUGGGACCUCACUUGGGAAGUGGGUAGCAAAGGUCCUCAACCCAGAGACGGGCGCAAAAGACCGGCCUGGGCAAGUUGGUGAGACCCAACUUCGGUAAGUUUUGUUUUUGUUUUUUCAUCCUUUUGAGACAGGGUCUCCCUGUAGCCCC
rnacentral:lncRNA from 1 species